GCUUACGGCCACACCUUCCCUGAGCACGCCCGAUCUCGUCUGAUCUCGGAAGCUAAGCAGGGGUCGGGCCCGGUAGUACUUGGAUGGGAGACCGCCGGGGGAAUACCAGGUGCUGUAAGCC
rnacentral:rRNA from 1 species